rnacentral:lncRNA from 1 species
CAUGACUUCGUCUUCUCUUGUUGAAUAUGCUCCGUCCAGUGACUCUCAAUGCUCUGUUGCAAAACUUUUUUCCCUCAAGAUGCUAAACAUUGAAAAAAUACAUAUUAUUAAUUAGAUUUUCUUUAUUUUGUCUCUAUUAUAGCUACAUGUUGGUGGUAUCAAAAUAUCAUGAUGUUACAGAAAAUCAGUGUUAUAGAGUGGUUUAAAACCUUCUCUUUGGCUUCAGGCAGACCUGGCUACAGUUCUGCAUAACAUGGGAAUUUACUUUGUGAGGCCCCUGGAACAAAGGAUACUUAGGGAACAAGGGUGGGGGAAACCGAAGCUUGGAAUCUCCAGCCUGCUAGCUCAGGUCUCCUGUUGCAAUGUUGCCCUUAACCUCGCUGGACAUCAACUACACCAGAAGAGCACUGGCUAUGAUCACUGGAGUGGCUUCCACUUCAGGUAUUUUUGGGAUGUGAUCCCAUCUUUAGUCUCGUUUUUAGUCAUAAAAUGCCUGGGGAAUGGGAUAUGGGGCUUACACUAA